AUUGAACGCUGGCGGCAUGCCUAACACAUGCAAGUCGAACGGGGGUAGCAAUACCCUAGUGGCGGACGGGUGAGGAAUACGUAGGAAUUUGCCCUUAAGUGGGGGAUAACCCGGGGAAACCCGGACUAAUACCGCAUGAUCUCGUGAGAGCAAAGCAGGGGACCGCAAGGCCUUGCGCUUUUGGAGAAGCCUACGUCGGAUUAGCUAGUUGGUGGGGAAAUGGCCAACCAAGGCUACGAUCCGUAACUGGUCUGAGAGGAUGAUCAGUCACACCGGAACUGAGACACGGUCCGGACUCCUACGGGAGGCAGCAGUGGGGAAUAUUGGACAAUGGGCGAAAGCCUGAUCCAGCAAUGCCGCGUGUGUGAAGAAGGCCUUCGGGUUGUAAAGCACUUUAGGCUGGAAAGAAAAAGCUUUGGCUAAUAUCCAAAGCCUUGACGGUACCAGCAGAAAAAGCACCGGCUAACUUCGUGCCAGCCGCCGCCGUAAAAC
rnacentral:rRNA from 1 species